rnacentral:rRNA from 1 species
AACGCGAAGAAUCUUACAUACUUUUGACAUCCAGAGAACUUUGCAGAGAUGCUUUGGUGCCUUCGGGAACUCUGAGACAGGUGGGGCAUGGGUGUUGUCAGCUCGUGUUGUGAAAUGUUGGGUUAAGUCCCGCAACGAGCGCAACCCUUAUCCUUUGUUGCCAGCGGUCCGGCCGGGAACUCAAAGGAGACUGCCAGUGAUAAACUGGAGGAAGGUGGGGAUGACGUCAAGUCAUCAUGGCCCUUACGAGUAGGGCUACACACGUGCUACAAUGGCAUAUACAAAGAGAAGCGACCUCGCGAGAGCAAGCGGACCUCAUAAAGUAUGUCGUAGUCCGGAUUGGAGUCUGCAACUCGACUCCAUGAAGUCGGAAUCGCUAGUAAUCGUGGAUCAAAAUGGCCCGGUGAAAACCUUCCCGGGUCUUGUACACACCG